GAUGAACGCUGGCGGCGUGCCUAAUACAUGCAAGUCGAGCGAACAGACGAGGAGCUUGCUCCUCUGACGUUAGCGGCGGACGGGUGAGUAACACGUGGAUAACCUACCUAUAAGACUGGGAUAACUUCGGGAAACCGGAGCUAAUACCGGAUAAUAUAUUGAACCGCAUGGUUCAAUAGUGAAAGACGGCUUUGCUGUCACUUAUAGAUGGAUCCGCGCCGCAUUAGCUAGUUGGUAAGGUAACGGCUUACCAAGGCAACGAUGCGUAGCCGAACUGAGAGGGUGAUCGGCCACACUGGAACUGAGACACGGUCCAGACUCCUACGGGAGGCAGCAGUAGGGAAUCUUCCGCAAUGGGCGAAAGCCUGACGGAGCAACGCCGCGUGAGUGAUGAAGGUCUUCGGAUCGUAAAACUCUGUUAUUAGGGAAGAACAAAUGUGUAAGUAACUAUGCACGUCUUGACGGUACCUAAUCAGAAAGCCACGGCUAACUACGUG
rnacentral:rRNA from 1 species